GUCCACGCCGUAACGAUGUCUACUAGCUGUUCGUGUCCUUGUGAUGUGAGUAGCGCAGCUAACGCACUAAGUAGACCGCCUGGGAGUACGGUCGCAAGAUUAAACUCAAAUGAAUUGACGGGCCCGCACAAGCGGUGGAGCAUGUGGUUAAUUCGACGCAACGCGAAGAACCUUACCUACUCUUGACAUCUACGGAAGACUGCAGAGAUGCGGUUGUGCCUUCGGGAACCGUAAGACAGGUGCUGCAUGGCUGUCGU
rnacentral:rRNA from 1 species